UCAGUAGAAAACAUCACCAAUAGAACUUGGAAGACCACUCGGAAGACAGAACCUCAGACAAUGAAGACAAAACAUAUACUCUUGAAAAUAAAGUUGACUGCACAGAGAAGAUGAUAAGAAAUCAUGAACAGAACUUCCAAGAAAUAUGGGAUAACAUGAAAAGACCAAAUUUAAAUUUAUCAGAAUAGACAAAGACAUGGAGAUACAAACCAAAGAAAUGCACAAUUUUCAAUGACAUAAUAUCAGAAAAUUUCCCAAAUCUAAAGAACGAAAUGGAAAAUCAACUAAAGGACCCCAAAUGUACAAAAUUACAACAGACCCACACCAAGGUACAUUUUAAUGAGAGUGACUAACAUCCAGAAUAAGGGUAGAAUUUUAAAGGCUACAAGAGAAAAAUAUCAGAUUACCUUUGGGGGGGAAUGAAUUUAGGUUUCAGCUGAUUUAUCAAUCCUCAAUGCUGCUUUUGUUCUUCACACAAGUGUGACCUCAUGAAUCUUAUGGGAAAUUCUUGCUUUUUGUCAAAAUUUGAUUGAGGCUCAAAAAUUCCCUUUUCUAUCUCAUAUCUGGAAUUUUCUGUCUCCUUUAGGGGAUAAAAGUAUUAUUAAAUGCUUGGUUUAAAGUGUCUUGCUCUUAGUCAUCUUUUUUUAACAGGUUAUCAAAGUUUCCAUUUAAAACAAGAUCAUUAAUGUUGACAUUUUAAAUUCAUAUUUAAUAUGACAUACUUGUAUCUUAAGUUUUUAAUAGUUUUCUUUUUCCAAAAGU
rnacentral:lncRNA from 1 species